AGUGAACGCUGGCGGUAGGCCUAACACAUGCAAGUCGAACGGCAGCACAGUAAGAGCUUGCUCUUACGGGUGGCGAGUGGCGGACGGGUGAGGAAUACAUCGGAAUCUACUUUUUCGUGGGGGAUAACGUAGGGAAACUUACGCUAAUACCGCAUACGACCUACGGGUGAAAGCAGGGGAUCUUCGGACCUUGCGCGAUUGAAUGAGCCGAUGUCGGAUUAGCUAGUUGGCGGGGUAAAGGCCCACCAAGGCGACGAUCCGUAGCUGGUCUGAGAGGAUGAUCAGCCACACUGGAAAUGAGACACGGUCCAGACUCCUACGGGAGGCAGCAGUGGGGAAUAUUGGACAAUGGGCGCAAGCCUGAUCCAGCCAUACCGCGUGGGUGAAGAAGGCCUUCGGGUUGUAAAGCCCUUUUGUUGGGAAAGAAAAGCAGCAGGUUAAUACCCCGCUGUUCUGACGGUACCCAAAGAAUAAGCACCGGCUAACUUCGU
rnacentral:rRNA from 1 species